AGUGAACGCUGGCGGUAUGCCUAAUACAUGCAAGUCGAACGGAAGCACAGUAAGAGCGCGCUCCUACGGGUGGCGAGUGGCGGACGGGUAAGGCAUACAUCACAUUCUACUUUGUCGGGGGGGAUAACGGAAGGCAAGUGACGCUAACAGCGCAUAUGACGUACGGGAGGAAGCAGGGGAGCUUGACGGUUUGGGUGACUCUAAUAGCCGAUGUCGGAUUAGCUAGUUGGCGAGGUAAAGGCCCACCAAGGCGACGAUCCGUAGCUGGCCUGAGAGGAUGAUCAGCCACACUGGAACUGAGACACGGUCCAGACUCCUACGGGAGGCAGCAGUGGGGAAUAUUCCGCAAUGGGCGCAAGCCUGACCCAGCAACACCGCGUGGGUGAAGAAGGCCUUCGGAUUGUAAAGCCCUGUUGUUGGGAAAGAACAGAAGCAGAUUAAUCCAUGGCUGUUCUGACGGUACCCAAAGAAUAAGCCCCGGCUAACUUCGUG
rnacentral:rRNA from 1 species